rnacentral:rRNA from 1 species
UGCGCCCGGGAAAUUCGAGUUAACGCGAAGAACCUUACCAGCCCUUGACAUCCCUGGAACUUUUGUAGAGAUACAUUGGUGCCUUCGGAAUCCAGUGACAGGUGCUGCAUGGCUGUCGUCAGCUCGUGUCGUGAGAUGUUGGGUUAAGUCCCGCAACCGAGCGCAACCCUCGUCCAUAUGUUGCCAGCGGGUCAUGCCGGGGACUCAUAGGAGACUGCCGGGGUCAACUCGGAGGAAGGUGGGGAUGAGGUCAAGUCAUCAUGCCCCUUAUGUCCAGGGCUUACGCAUGCUACAAUGGCUGGUACAAAGGGCUGCGAGAUCGUGAGAUUAAGCGAAUCCCAGAAAGCCAGUCUCAGUUCGGAUUGGGGUCUGCAACUCGACCCCAUGAAGUCGGAGUCGCUAGUAAUCGCAGAUCAGCACGCUGCGGUG